GAUGGUGUAGCUCAGUGGCAGAGCUCAUGCUUAGCAUGCACGAGGUCCUGGGUUCAAUCCCCAGUACCUCCA
rnacentral:tRNA from 1 species